rnacentral:misc_RNA from 1 species
UAUUGGCCACCAGCCCAGGAGGACAAA